GACAUAGGUGGCGAACGUUAUCCGGAAUUAUUGGGCGUAAAGGGUGCGUAGGCGGCUUUGUAAGUCAGUGGUGAAAUAUGGCAGCUCAACUGUCAAGGUGCCAUUGAUACUGCGGAGCUUGAGUACAGAUGAGGUAGGCGGAAUUGACGGUGUAGCGGUGAAAUGCUUAGAUAUCGUCAAGAACACCUAUAGCGAAGGCAGCUUACUAGGCUGUAACUGACGCUGAGGCACGAAAGUGUGGGGAUCAAACAGG
rnacentral:rRNA from 1 species